rnacentral:rRNA from 1 species
GACGAACGCUGGCGGCGUGCUUAACACAUGCAAGUCGAACGAUGAAGCCGGAGCUUGCUCUGGUGGAUUGGUGGCGAACGGGUGAGUAACACGUGAGUAACCUGCCCUUGACUCUGGGAUAAGCGUUGGAAACGACGUCUAAUACCGGAUACGAGCUAGGACCGCAUGGUCACUAGCUGGAAAGAACUUCGGUCAAGGAUGGACUCGCGGCCUAUCAGUUAGUUGGUGAGGUAACGGCUCACCAAGACGGCGACGGGUAGCCGGCCUGAGAGGGUGACCGGCCACACUGGGACUGAGACACGGCCCAGACUCCUACGGGAGGCAGCAGUGGGGAAUAUUGCACAAUGGGCGCAAGCCUGAUGCAGCAACGCCGCGUGAGGGACGACGGCCUUCGGGUUGUAAACCUCUUUUAGCAGGGAAGAAGCGCAAGUGACGGUACCUGCAGAAAAAGCACCGGCUAACUACGUGCCAGCAGCCGCCGUAACAC